rnacentral:rRNA from 1 species
CACGGGGGUUGCGAGCGUUGUCCGGAAUUACUAGGCGUAAAGGGCAGGCAGGCGGAUCCAUAAGUUUAUCGUUUAAGGCGUCGGCUUAACCGGCGUAGGGCGGUAGAUACUGUGGAUCUGGAAUGCGGCUGGGGAAGACAGAAUUCCUGGUGUAGCGGUGGAAUGCGCAGAGAUCAGGGGGAAUACCGAAGGCGAAGGCAGUCUUCCAAGCCGUUAUUGACGCUCAACUGCGAAGGUGUGGGUAUCAAACAGGAUUAGAUACCCUGGUAGUCCCUGA